rnacentral:RNase_P_RNA from 1 species
GGAGGCGGCCGGACGGCCGCGGGGGAUCGGGCCGCGAGGCAUCGGUCCUUCGAGGAAAGUCCGAGCUCCACAGAGCAGGUUCGCGGGUAACGCCCGUCCGCCGCGAGGCGAGGACCAGCGCCACAGUGACGAUACCCGCGCAAGCGGGAGUGAAACGCGGCAAGCUCGAGCCGGAGCAAGACCGAAUAGGAGGGCGCAAGGCGGCGUUCGCGCCGCAGCAGGCUGCUCGCUCAGCCCUCGGGUAGGUCGCGCAGAUGGAUGGCCGUCACCGGACCGACCCGGUCCGGCACAGAACUCGGCUUACAGGCCGCUCUCCAGGG